AAUGAACGCUGGCGGCGUGCUUAACACAUGCAAGUCGAGCGAGAAAGUCUCCUUCGGGGGGCGAGUACAGCGGCGAACGGGUGAGUAACACGUGGGUAAUCUACCCGGGAGCGGGGAAUAACUUGGGGAAACUCGGGCUAAUACCGCAUACGCUCUGAAGACUACGGUCUGAUGAGGAAAGCUGGCCACUACAAGUAAGCUGGCACUCCCGGAUGGGCCCGCGCCCGAUUAGCUUGAUGGUGAGGUAACGGCUCACCAUGGCGACGAUCGGUAGCCGGCCUGAGAGGGCGAUCGGCCACACUGGGACUGAGACACGGCCCAGACUCCUACGGGAGGCAGCAGUGGGGAAUAUUGGACAAUGGGCGCAAGCCUGAUCCAGCAACGCCGCGUGGAGGACGAAGGCCUGCGGGUCGUAAACUCCUGUCAGGUGGGACGAAACAGCCGAGGUCAAUAGCCUCGGUGACUGACGGUACCACCAGAGGAAGCCCCGGCUAACUCCGUG
rnacentral:rRNA from 1 species